CAUUAUAACGCAGUGUGUACACACUGUCUAGUGUCGUAUUAUUUCAGCGAAAAAUGCAUCAUUUGAUAUUAUUUUGAAACAAUAAUAACUCAAAACCAAAUAACGAGCAUCGAAUGCAGCAAUUUUUACACUAAACUUCAGAUUCAGUGCCUCGGAUCACAUCUGCAAGACAAACGGCUGCAGGCAAAGAACGCGCACAAGGCAGCAGCCGCUGCUGCGAAUCGCAAGAGCAAAAGCAAAACGCCGGAGAAGUUGUCCGAUCCGUUGGCCAUUUGCCAUAUGCCGGACGUUGGCAAGCAGAAGUGAUUGACGCGUGCUGCAUGCUGAUGAGAUGCCCGUGCUGCCAUGGCCAAUAUCAAUCUGGAUUGCCACAAGGAUGUGAAGGCAAUGGUGCAGUCGCGGCCGUUGUCCAUUCUGCCGUUAUCGUUGGGCCGAGGAGCUAAAUGUGUUUCAAACUAGUUGCUAAGAAAGUUGUUUUACAUACAUAUAUUGAGAAUGGCGGCAGUUGUCUGUCUCCGCUUUUUUGUUGUUCAUUGCAUCCUGAUCGUUGCAUCCAGCAUAUGUUUGGACAUGCAUAUGUUGUCUAAUUUCCAUUUCCAUUUAUUUUCUUUUUUUUUCUUUUCUUUUUUUGUGCGUAUUUUUAUUACAAAAAAAAACUUAAAUUUACAUAUUUAGAUAUGUAUUUAAGUAUUUGACAACGGAUUAACUAAAUAAAUACUUGUAUUUAUGUACACAUAUAUUGAUUCCGUUGCAAGGCAUGACUUAUAUACGUAUGUAGACGAUUCAUAUGUAUAUUUGUUGUAUUCUUAAUUAGUGAACUUUAGAUCGCUUUGUUUUCCAUACCAAUCUACACGCAUAAGGCAAUCGAUACUAUGUAAAUGUGUUUCAAUUAAAUAAACUGUAAUAUUGAUAUAUUAAGUUGUAAA